CGCCGGGCUACGCUUCUCCAUUUUCCACACUCCUCCCCUUCCCCAGCUCCACCUCCUCUCACAGGAUGGCCCUUUUCACUGUUCCCUUCCCAUGGCUCGGUUCAGUCUCCUUAUCCUUCUGCUUUUUGCAGGUCAUGGCUGAUCUCCGAGGGCUAUGCUGUGGGCCCUGGAGAUGUCUCUCCAGACUGGUCUCCAGAGCAUUGUUCACAGCCAGAGCCCACAGACCCCAUCAGUACCAGCCCUGGAAAGACCUCGCUUUGGACCCCGUGCUCACUGCACACUCUGGGCCGUAGUCCUGCUGCCCCUGCCACUGCCGAGGAGCCCUGGGGCCGGGAAGGACCAGCGCUGCUGCUGCUCUCACGCUUCUCCCAGGCCCCUGACCCGAGUGGGGCGCUUGUGACUGGUCCAGCGCUGUGUGGCCUGCUGGCCUACGUGACUGGUGCACCAGGCCCUCCAAGCCCACGUGCACUGCGCAUCCUGGCACGCCUAACCUGCAACCCUGCCUGCCUCGAGGCCUUUGUGCGCAGCUAUGGUGCAGCACUGCUGCGCGCCUGGCUAGUCCUCGGUGUCGCGCUGGAUGACUGGCCUGCACCCCGCGCCCGGCCCACACGUCGAAACCAGCACCGAGAGCUGGGUAUGUCUCCUCGCUUCCUGCUCACAAGAGAGGUCUCAUCUUUCUGUGCCUUUCAUGGGCCAGAACCUUACCUUAAUGCCCACCUGCCUGCUCACUGCCCUCUGAAGGCCACUGUCCAGGUGAGAUGCUGCUGCAGAACCUAACUGUCCAGGCCGAGUCACCCUUUGGAGUAGGUGCCCUCACUCACUUGCUGCUCUCUGGAAGCUCUGAGGAUCGUGUAGCCUGUGCGCUGACCCUGCCCUUCAUUUGCCGGUGAGGAGGAUGUGGGUGUCUGGUAGGGCUGA
rnacentral:lncRNA from 1 species